rnacentral:rRNA from 1 species
ACUCCUACGGGAGGCAGCAGUGGGGAAUAUUGCACAAUGGGCGGAAGCCUGAUGCAGCGACGCCGCGUGGGGGAUGACGGCCUUCGGGUUGUAAACUCCUUUCGACCGCGAGGAAGCCACCUGGUUGGAAGGGUGGUGACGGUAGUGGUAGAAGAAGCACCGGCUAACUACGUGCCAGCAGCCGCGGUAAUACGUAGGGUGCGAGCGUUGUCCGGAUUUACUGGGCGUAAAGAGCUCGUAGGUGGCUUGUCGCGUCGUCUGUGAAAGUCUGGGGCUUAACUCCGGGUGUGCAGGCGAUACGGCUGGCUUGAGUGCUGUAGGGGAGACUGGAAUUCCUGGUGUAGCGGUGGAAUGCGCAGAUAUCAGGAGGAACACCGAUGGCGAAGGCAGGUCUCUGGGCAGCCACUGACGCUGAGGAGCGAGAGCAUGGGUAGCGAACAGGAUUAGAUACCCUGGUAGGCUCUGCU